AUUGAACGCUGGCGGCAUGCUUUACACAUGCAAGUCGAACGGUAACAGGCCUUCGGGUGCUGACGAGUGGCGAACGGGUGAGUAAUGCAUCGGAACGUACCCAGAGGUGGGGGAUAACGCAGCGAAAGCUGUGCUAAUACCGCAUGUGAUCUGAGGAUGAAAGCGGGGGACCGAGCAGCAAUGUUUGGCCUCGCGCCUUUGGAGCGGCCGAUGUCGGAUUAGCUAGUUGGUGGGGUAAAGGCCUACCAAGGCGACGAUCCGUAGCUGGUCUGAGAGGACGACCAGCCACACUGGGAGUGAGACACGGCCCAGACUCCUACGGGAGGCAGCAAUGGGGAAUUUUGGACAAUGGGCGCAAGCCUGAUCCAGCAAUGCCGCGUGCGGGAAGAAGGCCUUCGGGUUGUAAACCGCUUUUGGCAGGAACGAAACGGUGUCCGCUAAUACCGGGCGCUAAUGACGGUACCUGCAGAAUAAGCACCGGCUAACUACGUG
rnacentral:rRNA from 1 species